rnacentral:rRNA from 1 species
UGGGGAAUAUUGCACAAUGGGCGCAAGCCUGAUGCAGCAACGCCGCGUGAGGGAUGACGGCCUUCGGGUUGUAAACCUCUUUUAGUAGGGAAGAAGCGAAAGUGACGGUACCUGCAGAAAAAAGCACCGGCUAACUACGUGCCAGCAGCCGCGGUAAUACGUAGGGUGCGAGCGUUGUCCGGAAUUAUUGGGCGUAAAGAGCUCGUAGGCGGUCUGUCGCGUCUGCUGUGAAAACCCGAGGCUCAACCUCGGGCCUGCAGUGGGUACGGGCAGACUAGAGUGCGGUAGGGGAGAAUGGAAUUCCUGGUGUAGCGGUGGAAUGCGCAGAUAUCAGGAGGAACACCGAUGGCGAAGGCAGUUCUCUGGGCCGUAACUGACGCUGAGGAGCGAAAGCGUGGGGAGCGAACAGGAUUAGAUACCCUGGUAGUCCACGCCGUAAACGUUGGGCGCUAGAUGUGGGGACCAUUCCACGGUUUCCGUGUCGCAGCUAACGCAUUAAGCGCCCCGCCUGGGGAGUACGGCCGCAAGGCUAAAACU